GCUAGCUAAGCUCCUUCAAUUGCAUGAGAACAUGAAGAAAACAUCUCCCAUGAGUUAGGAAAUGGGCCCUCACCAGACACAGGAUCUACUCAUGCCUAGACCUUGAACUUCCAGCCUCCACAACUGUGAGAAUUAAUUUCAGUUGUUCCCUUUAUCCAAGGAAAUAUAAGCAGAAAAUCUCUGAUGGGGGCAGCUCCAAUCCCCAGAAUCUUCCUAGUCUGCAAACAACUGCCAAAGACCAGUAGUUCUUCACCCUGGAAUGGGAACCAGAGCCUGCUAAAGGAGCUCUCAUGUCAAUGCCCAGAGAGACAACUUAAAUCUCCAGCUGUAAUAUGCAGCCAGGAUGCUAAGAAGCAUCCUCAGCAAUAGGCAGGCAAGAGAGAACUGAAAGGAAAUAAUUUUAAUAUUUUCAAGUAAUUUAUUUUUGAGAUUGAAUACAUAUACAUACUCUCCAAUGAUUUGGCUGGCAAUUGUGAGCAAGCCAAUCCGAAUGAAGAGCUUGAGAAGCAUUGGUAGAUAAAUCCUCAUUGGUAAACCCCAUACUUUCAGCAAACUUGGUGGCUGGCAAUUAGGAAGGAAAGUAUAAAUUAACAAAGUAUCAUCUUUCAAGCAAAAUGUAUGUGCUGGAGGCAUCCUAGGUCAGCUGCCUCUUACAUGCGGUACACAAAGAUAUCCAGAGGGGUACACAAAGUUUUCUCAAAGAGUUUUCACACAUGAACAGUUUCAAGGAAAUCAAUGUCUACAUCUUCAACUUCCAUAUGUCCUACUUAAAGCUGAUCUGCUUGAGUUCCCUGGGUUGUGUGUUAUGCAGAAUCCUUCGCUACCUCACCUUCACCAUCUCCCUCCAUCUUACCAAAAAAAAAAAAAAAAAAAAAA